AAGACUAUAGACCUGCGGAGUACCUGCGGAAGGAUCAUUAUCGUAUUGUAACAAUUGGGGGGGCCGCCGUGGGCUGUCGCUGACCCUUUGAAAGGGGGGUCGUGCACGCCCCCAUAGUGUCAUCCUCAUACAAUCCAACUCACCUCUGUGCAUCACCGCGUGGGUUCCUUUCUGGGUCGAGUCAGACUGGCUCAGAAAAAAGGGGCUUGCGUUUUCCAUACAAAUACCCUUAUAAAUCCA
rnacentral:misc_RNA from 1 species